rnacentral:lncRNA from 1 species
CUCCACCCACCCCACACCCUGCCCUAGGCAGCCUUCCGCUUGACUGGUCCCGUAGGAAUCCUUUGUGGUAAACUUUAAAUCAAAAACACAGUGCACUCAGAAGAGUCCCGUGAGUCAUUCUUGCAAACCCAAACCUGAAGGAGGAGGCUGUGGAAUCCUGCAACUUCCCAACAAACAGAAGAGUAGGUAACCUGGGCCCAGCCCUACAGCCAGGGUCAGCAAGGAGGACAGCUUUCUGGGAUUGGGCUCCUAACCUGUGGAGUCUAGGCUAGCUCCACAUAGUGUUAGGACGGCAUCCGAGGAGAUUGGACUGGAUUGGAUUGUUAAACUUCGCUGCAUAGCACACACGGCCGCCACUGAAGAACACCACAUUGGCAGAACCAAUGGUAUCAGCCAGGCCCAGGACCCCCAGAACCUGGUCCCUAGGACAGCAGAGCAAUCAAGGGAAGGGAUUCCGCUGCAACCCAGCAGCUGGUCACAAAUUGAAAGUGGAGCAAGCAGCACAAUCAAAGGAAAAGUAGCUUCCAGAUCUCUCUGCCAGGACUGAGGUCGCCCACGGAAAACCCUGGAGGAGGAGAGACUGAGGGAGGAGGGCACAUGGAGGGCGGAAGCGAGGCAUCUCAGGACCUACUGCAGGUCCCCAAGUCCAGUCCCAGUGAUGACGCUGCCUCACUCUCCUUCAGCUUUUUGGGGAUACCACGUACAUCGCCCUUCUGGGCCCCAGGGUCAAGCUGAUGCUGCGUCUACGGAGCUGUGUUUCCGCGCAGCAUGUGGGCCUUCCAAACCUCGUCGGACUGCUCAGCCUUGUUCCUUACCCUCCCCCACCCGAGCGGGCAAAUUAGCGAAAGUGAAGCAAACAGGACGGCAAUGUUCUCUCAGGUCCCUUCCAGAACCAAAACCCCAGAAUCUGAGUGCCAAGGAAAUUGCUCUACCAGAGCAGGGUUCCUCAUCACCCCAGCCCUGGAAUCUGGCUCUGCCAAGAUCCAGAUGAGGCCACCUGGGUGUUCAGCGCUCUCCUCCACCGGCCUCGCUUAUGGGCCCUCGGCAAGGUGAGCUCCACAUGCGUGGCCAGCCCCACUGGUCGGAGGCCAAGCCUGGGAGGUUUCUGAACGCGC